UCUGAUGGUGGCAAGCCCAACUCUUUUCCUUUUUGUUCCAGGAAGCCCCUGAUUAUUUCUGUAUUCUUUUGGUCAUCCUUCUUGCAACGUUUUUCCUGCAAUAUCUUCUCUGUGACAUUGUUCAGUUGCUUCUCAUCGGUCAAAAGCUUUCUAAGCUUGGAACCAUUAACAAUCUUAAUGUUAUGGAUAAAAGCAACAUGUUUUUGAGCCAAAGAAUCCGCAACUUCUUGUAGAAUAGGCUGAA
rnacentral:misc_RNA from 1 species